AUUUUUUUUCAAAAGCUCUCAGCUGUGCCUGCCUGUCAGGGACGAAGGCAUCUAAAGCAGGGCAGGCUUACCAGUGAAUUGCAAUCAAUAUCCACAAACUUCUCCCUCCAUAGGAGAAAAAGGUCAACACAGGACACAACAGAUCCAGAACAACAUCAUCUGAGUGUCUUAGCAUGUCAUAUGAAGGUAUUUUGUCCAUCCAAAGUUUGAAGGAGGUUGAGAACCCAUGGAAAGGCAUUACUCUGAACCGUUGCAUAGUGUUGGCCAUCAUCAUUGUGCUUGUGAGCUCAGGGGUGAAUGAAGUACAUGAUGCACUGGAAGUAUUUCUAGAGGAGAAUGAUCUUACUCAGAUGUUACUUGGAGGCACAGAUCCACAGCCAGAUGGCACAGCUCAGCUUGCCGAGUUGGGGAUAAGACCAUGGAACAAAAGGAAAACCAGAGAGAAGAGGGGGAGUCUUGAGGAUCAGAAAUAGAGAUGCCUGACAAAGGGCUGUGAAGGAAUGAUAGAGAGCAUGAUGGAGAAUGGUAAAGAGGCUAAUACAACAAAUAGGCUGACAUUUUCAGAAAGAAUAAUCACAUAAUGUCAGUUUGCCCAGUGCUUAUUCUAUCAAAGUAUAUAUAUAUAUAUAUAUAUAUAUAGUUUACUACUGUAGAAAGAACCAAUUUAUAGAACAAUUACCAAACAUCAAAUACAAUUUUACUUGUCACAUGCACCAAAUAUAACAGGGGUAGACUUUACAGCAAAAUGCUUACUUACGGGCUCUUUCCCAACAAUGCAGUCAAAAAGUCACACAUACUUCACAAUGAUUUUAAAUUAGACCUAUACACAGUCUUAUAUGAUCAUGCAUAAAUGUCUGCAUAAAUGUUUUUCAUAUUUAAAGGGCACACAAAAAUCAAUAAAUGAAUAACAUUUGCUGGUUCCCAGCUCAUUCAAUUAAAUAUUAUUUUAGCCUUUAAUAUGCCUUUUCAUUGGAUGCAAAUUGAUAAUUAUCAAAUGGUAUUUGAAAGAUCCAAUAUGUGCACUGUGCCAUUGAGUUUGCAAUUGACAUUGAUGAGUAACAAAAAUUGUAUUAAAAUGUAAAAUCAGC